rnacentral:rRNA from 1 species
AGUGACAAGAAAUAACAAUACAGGACUUUUUGGUUUUGUAAUUGAAAUGAGUUAAGUAUAAACCCCUUUACAAGUAUCAAUUGGAGGGCAAGUCUGGUGCCAGCAGCCGCGGUAAUUCCAGCUCCAAUAGCGUAUAUUAAAGUUGUUGCAGUUAAAAAGCUCGUAGUUGGAUUUCUGUUAAUAAUUUAUAUAAAAUAUUUUGAUGAAUAUUUAUAUAAUAUUAACAUAAUUCAUAUUACUAUAUAUUUUAGUAUAUGAAAUUUUACUUUGAGAAAAUUAGAGUGCUUAAAGCAGG